rnacentral:misc_RNA from 1 species
UAAUAAGUGUUUUAUGGCACUUUUUAAAUCCAUAUCCACCUUGUGUGCAAUGUCGGUCGAUCUUCUUCAUGGAGAUCGACCAAACAUCAACCUUUAUCUUUUAACUCUUUGUCUGAAAAAUAUUAUGAAUAAAACAAUUCAAAAUA